UUCUACAGAGUAACGAAAACGCCAGAACUGUGCUGACCAUUUCUCUUUAUUAUUACAGAUUAAGUCUGAGGCCGGUAACAUCAAAAGUGAGGACAAACCCAGCCUUCCUCUCUCCUUCCACACGGAGUCCAAACCUACAGUCACUGGGUCCUGAUUGUGACAGUGGAGCCCAAUUUGCACUGCAGGAUCCAGAGAUGGCAUCAGUGAAGCUGGAAGACUGCAGUCAAACACUGGAGCUGAAUGUCAACAUUAAAGAUGAAGAAGAGGAGGAGAAGAUUGGGAAAUCUGUUUCUCAUGCUCUCUGCAGGUCAUUCACUAGGUCCCCCCGUGUGGUUCUGGGAUUUUUGCUCACCGUUCCUGUGAUCAUUUUGACCCCCCGGAGUGAGAUCUUGCGUGGAGCCCCAGAUCGAGGGAGAUUAUCAGUGGUCUUGUAUGUCUUCCAUUUCCUAAUAAAUGCUCCCACAGUUGAUUUCUUCAAACCAAGCUGCUUACCUAUUGCAGAUUCAGUCUUCCUAGCCUGGUGCAGGUCUACAAUUUUGUUUCUGGUGUCCUUUGACAGCUCUUUGGUCUUGGCCAUAGUGGAGUUUGGAGUGUGACUGUUUGAGGUUGUGGACAGGUGUCUUUUAUACUGAUAACAAGUUCAAACCGGUGCCAUUAAUACAGGUAACGAGUGGAGGACAGAGGAGCCUCUUAAGGAAGAAGUCUUAAAGAAGAAGUUCUGUGAGAGCCAGAAAUCUUGCUUGUUUGUAGAUGACCAAAUGCUUAUUUUCCACCAUAAUUUGCAAAUAAAUUCAUUAAAAAUCCUA